CGCUGGCGGCGUGCCUAACACAUGCAAGUCGAACGAGAAAGUGGAGCAAUCCAUGAGUAAAGUGGCGACCGGGUGAGUAACACGUGACUAACCUACCUUCGAGUGGGGGAUAACCUCGGGAAACCGGGGCUAAUACCGCAUAACAUCUUUGGAGUGGAAAUUCUGGAGAUCAAAGGAGCAAUUCGCUGGAAGAGGGGGUCGCGGCUGAUUAGCUAGUUGGCGGGGUAACGGCCCACCAAGGCAAAGAUCGGUAUCCGGCCUGAGAGGGCGCACGGACACACUGGAACUGAAACACGGUCCAGACUCCUACGGGAGGCAGCAGUGGGGAAUUUUGCGCAAUGGGGGAAACCCUGACGCAGCAACGCCGCGUGGAGGAUGAAGUCCCUUGGGACGUAAACUCCUUUCGACCCGGACGAUAAUGACGGUACGGGUGGAAGAAGCCCCGGCUAACUUCGUGCCAGCAGCCGCGGUAAUACGAGGGGGGCAAGCGUUGUUCGGAAUUAUUGGGCGUAAAGGGCGCGUAGGCGGUGCGGUAAGUCACCUGUGAAACCUCUAGGCUCAACCUAGAGCCUGCAGGCGAAACUGCCGUGCUUGAGGGUGGGAGAGGUGCGUGGAAUUCCCGGUGUAG
rnacentral:rRNA from 1 species